UGCACAACCUCUUAACCUCCCACUC
rnacentral:piRNA from 1 species